AUUUAAAUACAGACAAUAUAGUAUGCAUUUACUAACACCACAUCUCACCCCCACGAAACUUGGUAAGGGCAGCAACAGAACUUUAUCUGCCAUAUGCACUCCUGUAUUCCCAUUACCAAAUAGUGCCAGGGACUAAAUGAAUAUUUGCCCAAUGAAUGAGUUUUAAGUAGGAAACGUUUGCAUAGAAUAAUUUUGUUUCUUUUGGAGUUCAAGUCUUCGGGUAUUUUACCCUUCCCAAUCCAAAGAAAAGUCUCUGAGUGAAGAGAUGGGAACAAAAU
rnacentral:antisense_RNA from 1 species